rnacentral:rRNA from 1 species
UACGUAGGGUGCAAGCGUUGUCCGGAAUUAUUGGGCGUAAAGAGCUCGUAGGCGGUUUGUCGCGUCUGCUGUGAAAACUCGGGGCUUAACUCCGGGCCUGCAGUGGGUACGGGCAGACUAGAGUGCGGUAGGGGAGACUGGAAUUCCUGGUGUAGCGGUGAAAUGCGCAGAUAUCAGGAGGAACACCGGUGGCGAAGGCGGUGGUCUGGGCCGGCACUGACGCUGAGGAGCGAAAGCGUGGGGAGCAAACAGG